AGGACGGCGGCCGCUGGGGGCGGGGCCAGGCCAGGCGCCUCUGCCAGGGACCCCUGGGCCCCUGAGCCAGCAGAGAUGUGGUGCAACUGGGCAAGGCAGGGCUGAGUACCCAGCAGCUGCCUGUUCUCAUUCCUCGGGAUCAAGGUUGCCGGCUGGGCGGGGCUCACCUCCAGGCAUGGGAAGCCGAGCUGGAUGGGCUCUCCUGUCCAAAUAUGACCCCCAGAAGGAGGCAGAGCUCCGCACCUGGAUCGAGGGACUCACCAGCCUCUCCAUCGGCCCCGACUUCCAGAAAGGCCUGAAGGACGGAACUAUCUUAUGCACGUGAGUACACGCAGGGACACGGGCUGUCUCACACUUAACGCAUCUUGGUUUUUUUUUUUUUUUCCUUUUUGUGGAGAACGGGGUCUCGCUAUAUUACCCAGGCAGGUCUUGAACUCCUGGGCUCAAGCUAUCCUCCCGCCUCUGCCUCCCUGAGAGCUGGGAUUACAGGCGUGAGCCACCGCGCCCGGCCGAAUCUUGGUUUUUCUCACUCUUUUCUUUUUUUAAUUAAGAAAUUUUGGGGGGGCCAGGCGCGGCAGCUCACACCUGUAAUCCCAGCACUUUGGGAGGCCGAGGCAGGUGGAUCUCGAGGUCAGGAGUUCGAGACCAGCCUGCCCAGCACGGCACAACCCUGUCUCUCCUAAAAAUACAAAAAAAAUUAGCCGGGCGUGGUGGCAUGCGCCUGUAGUCCCAGCUACUCGGGAGGCUGAGGCAGGAGAAUUGCUUGAACCCGGGAGGUGGAGGUUGUCGUGAGCUGAGAUCGUGCCAUUGCACUCCAGCCCGGGCAACAG
rnacentral:lncRNA from 10 species